AGGGAGAGGGCCGGAUGCCGGGCGUAUGGGCCACACUUGGUGGUCCUCCUGCUGCGCCGCCUCAGGGGACUCCCUGCCUGGCUUUGCCUGUGCUGGCCGGAAAUCAUCUCCCCUUACUCCCCAGCAAUGCAAGCUGCAUGUGCAGCAGGAGGGAGGGUAGGACACAUCGGAAACCACCGGGCUCGGCGAUUGGGCUUUGAGAUCUUGGAGCUACCACACCCAAGAGACUAGGAGCUGAGGGUGGCCGGGAGGAAUCUACUCCCUGAAGAGCGCCCACCCACCCAGCCCAGUGUUUCCCCUGGGAGCCCAGGGCAGCCUUACUUCUCGGGGUUGUAACUAGGCCUCCUGACUACCCCCAGCCACCACUUACAUGGGAAACAUUUUAUAACCUGCUUUCUGGCGGGCAAGGCCAGGCUCCCGUGGGCUGCCUUCCUUCUGAAGUUUUCCAUUCAAUUAUUUACACGAGCCCACAGACCUCUGCAGGAAGUCGGCAGGCACAGGGUAGCAUUUAUUCUUCUGCUGUCUCAUUUGUGGAGGGACCUCCCUUCUCUUGAAUGUGGCUCCUUUGGAGGUCAGAGACUGAGGACGGUGGCAUCAUCUAGAUCCCCGUUGUUUAUUCUUGAGGCCAGAGCAUUGCCCACCAGGUGUUUCCCAGGCACGGACCCCUUGCCCAGCGUGGCAUUCAGAGGGGGCAGCUCCGGCCGCCUGCUCAGGAGUGGGGUGGGAUGGGGAGCUGCCUCUGGAGCCUUGUGCUGAAGGAGAGGACCGUUGACGGAGAAGGACAUCACCCAAGUCCUGGGGCCUUUGGGGAAAGUAGGAAACCUGCCUGUCCUACAGGAGAAGAGACCACCUCACCAACUUUGAAGGAUGCAGGCCUUGUUUAGAGCAGAUCUCAGAAUUGGUGCCCUGCGGGCUCCAGGCCUUGGCCCUGCUGGUGGAUGAAAGUGGCACAACCUGCCCUGAGGCCUGAGUGUCACGGGAACAACAGCUAGACGGCUAGACACUGGCCCCCUCACCCCACCUCCCAGGGUGGCACGGCUGUCCAGAUAUGGUGCUGAGGGAGAUAAAACAGAUCUGGUCUAGGCUGGGCGCGGUGGAACACGCCUGUAAUCCUAGCACUUUGGGAGGCUGAAGCGGGAAUAUCAUCUGAGGUCAGGAGUUUGAGACCAGCCUGGCCAAGAAAACCCCGUCUCUACUAAAAAGACAAAAAACUAGGCAGGCGUGGUAGCAUGUGCCUGUAAUCCCGAAAUUGCACCUCUGCACUCCAGCCUGGGCAAUAAAGCAAGACUCUCUCUCAAAACAAAAAAGUGUCUUCUGGGUGACUGAAAAAAAACCUUCAUUUCAGAUUAAAAAAAAAAAAAUC
rnacentral:lncRNA from 1 species